rnacentral:lncRNA from 1 species
GAUGCUUCCCUAAUCUGGUUCGCUCAGCUCAUCAUGCCAUGCUUGGGUCUCUGCAUAAUCAGGAACGCCCAUUUCCAGGUAAAAUUCCUCUCCUCUUCUUAGCGUCUCUGUUGCAAGGAUAUGUGCAAGGUUGUUUGCAGAUCUUGUUGUGUGAAGAAAUCUGAUAUUUUUUACUUCUAGUAUUUUCUGUUGUAUAUCAUAAAUAUAUGCCCCUACCAUUGAUCUGUCAUGAUCCUUUUUGUUGCAUUUCUUGAUUAUUACGAGGGAAUCUCCUUCAAAAAUGAGUGCCUGCCAACCAUGGUCAACUCCUACUUGGACUGCUUUCCGACAGGCAAUUGCUUUAGCAGCAAAAGCAGAUGGAACUCCAUUGUGGAUUUCUGAGCAGGAUAAAAGAAUUUUUCCUUCCGAGUCUCUGGCCACAACACCUGAGGCUGACCGGUUCUGAAUCUGAUUAUAUGCACUAUCAAAAUUAAUCUUUAUGGAUUCCCACUGUGGGUGUGUCCAUCUCUCAUUUCCUUUCAUUAUUUCUGAGUUUCUUUGUUCAAGAUCAGUUAACUCAAUGAUGUAAUUACUAACAAAGUUUGCAACUUCUAUUCCAUUACUAACUUUGCCUUCAUGUAUGUUUCUUUUUCUGUCUCCCCAUAUGGCCUAUAGUGCACAGCAAAAGAGUCGACUUUGAUUUGGGUUUAACUGCUCUAGCGCCCAGGUGAGCCAUUGUACAAAAUCUUCGCUUUGAUACAUCAUAAUGUUCUGAAAUGAUAACAUUUUCCAUACCUCUCUUGUAACAGCACAGUCACGGAAUAAGUGAUUCAUCGUUUCAGCUCCUUCUCCACAUCGGGGACACCUUGUGUUGACUGCUAAUUUUCGGUGUUGUAGAUUUACCUUUGUAGGCAGAUAGUUCCAUGAUAGCCGCCACAUUGUGAUAUUUAUUUUUGUUGGUAUAUUCAGGCUCCAAAGUGUUUUGUAAAAUUUUCUGUAGAGGUUUUGUAAAGCAUAAGCUCUAGGAUUAUCAGUCGAUCUCUGUAAUAGUUGAUAGGCACUUCGUACCGUGAAUUCACCCGACUUCUCCCUUCCCCAAAUAAGAAAAUCUUCAUGCGGUGAUUGUGCCAGCGGGAUCCUAAGGAUUCUUUCAGCAUCUGCUUCAGUGAAGGUAUUGUUAAUCAACUCUGCAUUCCAGCUUCUACUAUUACUGUCGAUUAACUCCUUUACUUUAGAAACGCGCAUAGAAUUAACUCCUGACGACAAUUUAAAAUUAUCAGAAUCUGGAAUCCAAGCAUCAGUAAUGGAUAUACUAGAACCCGUUCCCACCUUCCAACAGUGCCCUAUUAUCAAUAAGGCUUUGGCUGCCCAAACACUUUUCCACACAUAAGAACAAGAGUUUCCUAACUGGGAGUUUAAAAAAUCAUUUUCUGGGAAGUAUUUGGCUUUAAAAACUUGCGCAACAAGAGAACCCUGAUUAUUCAUAAUCUGCCAUCCUUGUUUAGCCAAUAAUGAGAUAUUGAAUUGCGCCAUAUUUCGGAAACCCAUACCUCCCUCCUCUUUAGGCUUACACAUAUAUUCCCAUUGGCACCAAUGUAUCCCUUUUUUGCCUUUUCCUUUCUGCCACCAGAAUCUGGCAAACAGUUUUUCUAUCUCCUCACAGAAAGAUUUUGGUAGCAAAAAACAUGUCAUCGCAUAAAUAGGGAUUGCUUGAAGUACUGCUUUAAUGAAAACUUCUUUGCCUCAUUGAGAUAAGAAACGUGUACUCCAAUUAUCU